rnacentral:rRNA from 1 species
CCUACGGGAGGCAGCAGUGAGGAAUAUUGGUCAAUGGGCGCGAGCCUGAACCAGCCAAGUAGCGUGAAGGAUGACUGCCCUACGGGUUGUAAACUUCUUUUAUAAAGGAAUAAAGUGAGGCACGUGUGCCUUUUUGUAUGUACUUUAUGAAUAAGGAUCGGCUAACUCCGUGCCAGCAGCCGCGGUAAUACGGAGGAUCCGAGCGUUAUCCGGAUUUAUUGGGUUUAAAGGGAGCGUAGAUGGGUUGUUAAGUCAGUUGUGAAAGUUUGCGGCUCAACCGUAAAAUUGCAAUUGAUACUGGCAGGCUAGAGUACAUUUGAGGUAGGCGGAAUUCGUGGUGUAGCGGUGAAAUGCUUAGAUAUCACGAAGAACUCCGAUUGCGAAGGCAGCUUACUAAACUGCCACUGACAUUGAUGCUCGAAAGUGUGGGUAUCAAACAGGAUUAGAUACCCGGGUAGUC